CAGGACUUCAGGCUUUAAAAGGUGAUCGAGGAGUGCAAGGGUUGCCAGGGAAACCGGGGCCACCAGGACCCACGGGAGCAUCAAAACCAAACAUUGGUACAGUUGGAUUGCCAGGAAAAA